rnacentral:lncRNA from 1 species
CUGCCUCAGCCUCCCGAGUAGCUGGGAUUGCAGGCACCUGCUAUCAUUAUUUUGAAGCAAAUUUCAGGCAUUUCAUGUCUAAAUACUUUAGUAUUCAUAAAUAUUCAUAAAAUGGUAAUUCCAUUAGCACCUAAAGUAUACAAUAAUUGUUUGAUAUCGCCCUCAGUAUUGGAAUUUUACCAGUUGUCUCAUAAUAUUUUUUCCAGUUGCUUUGUUUUAAUCAGGAUCCCUCAAAAGGUCUACAUAUUGUAUUUGAUGGACAUGUCUCUUGGUCCACAUAUAUUGCAUUUGGUUGAUAAGCCUCUCAGUCUCUAGGUCCUUCCUCCUUCAGGCAUUUAACUAAAUAUAUCACAUGUAUAAAGGCACAUAAUCCCUUCACAACAUUAUGAAAUAGGUACUAUUAUUAUCCCCAUUUUACUGAUGAGGAAACUGAGUCACAAAGCUAAUACACAGUCUCUAAUAAGUGCUUCCAAAACAUGCGUUGUAGCA